GGACCGAGAAGUUACCCAAAACCGCAACUGGUCACUAUGUGAGCCAGAAGUGAAUUGGAAGCUAGCGUGAGCAAACAAGUUCGAUCUUGGAUUCCCUGGGAAUCCUGCCUAUUUAAACACUAAAUCUGUCGCAAUGGAAACGCGGUGGCUAGGUUGCGCGUUACUACCAUAUUGGCACCAGAUACGCAGUAGAGUAAUCGGGAAGUACUGGAUGCCAUAGUGUAGACAAUAGGCCUCUACCAGCGGUGUGUUGUAACGCACAUCGCAGCAAC
rnacentral:sRNA from 1 species